rnacentral:rRNA from 1 species
CCUACGGGUGGCAGCAGUCGAGAAUCAUUCACAAUGGGGGAAACCCUGAUGGUGCGACGCCGCGUGGGGGAAUGAAGGUCUUCGGAUUGUAAACCCCUGUCAUGUGGGAGCAAAUUAAAAAGAUAGUACCACAAGAGGAAGCGACGGCUAACUCUGUGCCAGCAGCCGCGGUAAUACAGAGGUCUCAAGCGUUGGUCGGAAUCACUGGGCGUAAAGCGUGCGUAGGCUGUUUCGUAAGUCGUGUGUGAAAGGCGGGGGCUCAACCCGCGGACGGCACAUGAUACUGCGAGACUAGAGUAAUGGAGGGGGAACCGGAAUUCUCGGUGUAGCAGUGAAAUGCGUAGAUAUCGAGAGGAACACUCGUGGCGAAGGCGGGUUCCUGGAAAUUAACUGACGCUGAGGCACGAAGGCCAGGGGAGCGAAAGGGAUUAGAUACCCCUGUAGUC